AGUCGGAGCGAAGCGGCUGGCGGAGCAGAACGGAUUGCAGGGUCAGCCAUGUCAUCUGAGCCUCCCCCACCACCACAGCCCCCCACCCAUCAAGCUUCAGUCGGGCUGCUGGACACCCCUCGGAGCCGUGAGCGCUCACCAUCCCCUCUGCGGGGCAACGUGGUCCCAAGCCCACUGCCCACUCGCCGGACGAGGACCUUCUCGGCGUGAGUCUGGAGCAGGCUGGGGACGCGUUCUCAGAUGGAUCUCUUGCCUGAGGCCAGAGAUUCACUGUGUCUCUGGCCAUUUUUGGGCCUAUGUCCCGGACUGCCAAAUAGGCAGACCUGGGGCUGGGCCGUGGGCUGAGGGUGAGAAACUAGGAAGGCGCCUUGUAAAUUCAGGGUACUGCCCAGCCCAGAAGAACCUGUUACCAGCUGGGAGUGGCAAUGGGUGGGCAGUUGCUGGGGUCAGAAUCGCUGGGCUUUAACCACACAUGAGAGUCUGGUUCCCUGUGAGACUGUGAAUUCUGCAGCUGCAAAAUGGGCACAGCACCAGGGCUGCAAAGGACCCACAUAAUGCCUGGCAGAUGCAGGUCUCAGGCCUUGCGAGUGGAGGAUGCUUGUGUUAUUAAUAGUAAAUCAUUAGUUUCUGGAGGGAUGUUCAGUGAUGUUUUAGUUCAACUCCCUCUUUCCAGGAGGGAAAACAGGCCCGAGAAAAUUGGCCAGGGUCAUCCAAAGAGUCCUUUCCCCCAGCGUCUUUGUGAGCGGCUCCCAGGGUUGAGGGUUGUGCAGUCCUCAGCCUGUGUGACUGUACAUGGCGGUCCUGGCCAGGGCUUGAUGGGGCACAGCUGUGGGCAGGGGCUGGAAUGAGCUUUGUGUGCCCAGGAGCGCUGAUGGGGCCCCUGACAUUUCCCCCUCUCUGUCAGGACGGUGCGGGCUUCACAGGGCCCCGUCUACAAAGGAGUCUGCAAAUGCUUCUGCCGGUCCAAGGGCCAUGGCUUCAUUACUCCAGCUGAUGGCGGCCCCGACAUCUUCCUGCACAUCUCUGAGUGAGUCAGCGGCAGGUCUGGGUGGCCUGGCUGGGGUGGGCGCUUCCUUGGCCCUGUGGAGGUGGGGAUGGUGUGUGACUCUGAUGGGCGCUGGGUGUGAGGACGAAUGGCUGGGCCUGUGUGACUCUGCCUGUGGCUGGUGCUCCAGCUGUGCUCCUGUGUGUGUGUUGGGUUGGGGUUGUGAGACUCUACGGAGCUGUGUUGGGGGAUGUGAGGCUGGGGGCGACACGGUACUUGUGAUUGUCCCUGGGUGUGUCUUUGUGAAUGGGUGUGUAAGGUUUUGUGUGUGCUGGGCGUGGUGGCUCACGCCUGUAAUCCCAGCACUUUGGGAGGCCGAGGUGGGUGGAUCACGAGGUCAGGAGAUCCAGACCAUUCUGGCUAAUGGUGAAAUCCCGUCUCUACUAAAAAAACACAAAAAAAAUUAGCCGGGCAUGGUGGCGGGCACCUGUAGUCCCAGCUACUCGGGAGGCUGAGGCAGGAGAAUGGUGUGAACCUGGGAGGCGGAGUUUGCAAUGAGCCGAGAUUGCGCCACUGCACUCCAGCCUGGGCAACAAGAGCAAGACUCCAUCUCAAAAAAAAAAAAAAAAAAAUAAUGAGCAGGGCGUGGUGACAGGUGCAUGUAAUCCCGGCUCCUCGGAAGGCUGAGGCAGGAGAAUCACUUGAAUCCAGGAGGUAGAGGUUGCAGUGAGCCGACAUCUCGCCAUUGCACUCCAGCCUGAGUGACAAGGGUGAAAGUCCAUUUCAAAAAAAAAAAAAAGGAUCGGGCAUGGUGGCUCACACCUGUAGUCCCAGCACUUUGGGAGGCGGAGGCAGGCGGAUCACCUGAGGUCAGGACUUCAAGACCAGCCUGGUGAAAUCCUGUCAUCACAAAAAUACAAAAAAAUAG
rnacentral:lncRNA from 1 species